AUGUGUGUGGAGAGUUCAAAGCCAGAAAAGGAUACGUUUGAGGUAGUUCCACCGUGUGUAACAAUGAUGCAAAGCAGGCAGAGAGCUGACCUAAUGCUUUCAAGUGGGGCAGAGUUGCCUUCAGUCAAGUUUGAUAGAGUGGAAGGGUGGGGAAAUAGAGGAAAUGGAAGAGAAGAAAGAGUGAUUUUCUUCAUCCUGCCCUGGAUCCAGAUCCCUUUUAAUAUGAUCUCCCCUGGACAGUUCUGAGCACUUCGAAGUACAUCCACUUCAGAUCACAGUAAGUGGGCGAAGGACUUCAGACCCUAGAGACACAAAGGUAACAGCUCCUCUUUACAUUGCCACCGUUUGCUUUUUUAGUAGGGAACCUGGGAGCCCCCGGCAGCUACCUUAAUGUAGAUAAGAGCUGGCAGGGUGAGGAAAAGCACUGGACUGUGAGUCAGGAGAUCUGAGCCCCUGCUUACUAAUUGAAUGAUUCUGGGCCAGUUACUUAAGUCUCUCUGUGUCAGCUUCUCAUUUUUAAAAUGGGAAAAACAGUACUCACCUUGUCUCUUGAAAGGGCCUAAGGAUCUGAAGAUGAUGUACAUGCAAGUCCCUGUUGGACCAUAAAAGUUUAUUAAAAGUUAAGUAUAAAGGCUCUUAAGAAGUUACGUUAAUUAAGAAUAUUUUAAUUUAAAGAUCUGAAAUAUAUUAGUGGACUUUCUUCUUGAAAUCCCGUGGUGAUUCUUGUGUAAUAUGAAGAAGGAAAGUUGAUGGGCAUCCUCUCUAAGGAGAACUCUGAUUAGUGGGAGGUUAAGGGGUGAUAUCAGACAGGUAAACAGAGAAAGAUUGUUUCAAUUGCAGGAACUAGAAUGUGUGUAGUGAAGGAAAAACCAGAC
rnacentral:lncRNA from 1 species